rnacentral:rRNA from 1 species
CCUACGGGGGGCUGCAGUAGGGAAUCUUCCACAAUGGGCGAAAGCCUGAUGGAGCAACGCCGCGUGGGUGAAGAAGGUCUUCGGAUCGUAAAACUCUGUUGUUAGAGAAGUAAGUGCGAGAGAGUAACUGUUCACGCUUCUACGGUAUCUAACCAGAAAGCCACGGCCAAAUACGUGCCAGCAGCCGCGGGAAUACGUAGGUGGCAAGCGUUAUCCGGAUUUAUUUGGCGUAAAGGGAACGCAGGCGGUCUUUUAAGUCUGAUGUGAAAGCCUUCGGCUUAACCGGAGUAGUGCAUUGGAAACUGGGAGACUUGAGUACAGAAGAGGAGGGUGGAACUCCAUGUGUAGCGGUGAAAUGCGUAGAUAUAUGGAAGAACACCAGUGGCGAAAGCGGCUCUCUGGACUGUAACUGACGCUGAGGUUCGAAAGCGUGGGUAGCAAACAGGAUUAGAUACCCGUGUAGUC